AUUGAACGCUGGCGGCAGGCCUAACACAUGCAAGUCGAGCGAGCGGCGGACGGGUGAGUAAUGUAUGGGGACUGCCCGAUCGAGGGGGAUAACUGCUGGAAACGUUGGCUAAUACCGCAUACUAUCCGUUACCCCAUAUGGGAUUAGCUAGUAGGUGGGGUAAAGGCUCACCAAGGCGAAGAUUCCUAGCUGGUCUGAGAGGAUGAUCAGCCACACUGGGACUGAGACACGGCCCAGACUCCUACGGAGGCAGCAGUGGGGAAUAUUGGACAAUGGGCGCAAGCCUGAUGCAGCAAUGCCGCGUGUAUGAAGAAGGCCUUAGGGUUGUAAAGUACUGUCAGCGGGGAGGCGUUACCCGAAGAAGAAGCACCGGCUAACUCCGUGCCAGCAGCCGCGGUAAUAC
rnacentral:rRNA from 1 species